UGUUGCCUACGGGACGCAGCAGUGAGGAAUAUUGGUCAAUGGUCGGGAGACUGAACCAGCCAAGCCGCGUGAGGGAUGAAGGUACAGAGUAUCGUAAACCUCUUUUGUCAGGGAACAAAGGCGGGGACGCGUCCCCGGAUGAGUGUACCUGAAGAAAAAGCAUCGGCUAACUCCGUGCCAGCAGCCGCGGUAAUACGUAUGGUGCAAGCGUUAUCCGGAUUUACUGGGUGUAAAGGGAGCGCAGGCGGUGCGGCAAGUCUGAUGUGAAAGCCCGGGGCUCAACCCCGGGACUGCAUCGGAAACUA
rnacentral:rRNA from 1 species